rnacentral:lncRNA from 1 species
UGGAUACAUAUGGUCCGUCAAGGCCUUUGACAUACUGUACAAAAUAAACCUAUGUCUACAAAGCCUCUAAGAUUAUUUGACAUCAAAUUGGGCAGAGUACCGGCCUACCCAUAAGUAUGUAAUAAAACUUCAACAUGAUCACUCGUAGACUCGGAUGCACUCCAAAUGAGGUGGAGUCUUACCGAUCCUUCGCUGAAUACCAAUAUCGUCCACUAUAAGGAUUCGUCAAACUGAUUGUCUAUAUCUGCAGGCAUGAAUGUAGCGUCCCCAACAAAAGGACGUCAGUACGAAUAAUGUACCGAGUAUGUAAGGCGGAACUGAAAGCAGAAAUUACUAGGAUGUCCACUUACUUUUCCUCCAAUUUAAUAUAUCUUUUUGACAAAGUAAUAAUAAAUAUUUGGGCAACAUAGCUUGUAGUGUACAAAAAGUAUACCAUAAUGUAGAAGACCUACAAAAAGGUAUGGUUUUCUUCACAGUUAGUUAAAAAAAUUCUUUUCUCUCCGUCUUGUACCAUUUAUUUUACUGAUUUUUGCAUUUUAAUUUGAUAAAAAAAUGUGAUUGCACAUAACUACUCGCUUAAAGGAGGUAAAAGCAUACAGAAAGUAGACCACUUAAGUUAGUUAACACCUAAUCAAGUCCCAAAAAGAAGACACUUGUAGAAGAGAAGGAACAUAUGCUUAAUUUUAGAAAACACUUGUAGGAUAUACUGCUUCUACAUACCACAAGCAUGUUUGGGCUUCGUGUAUGAAUCUUUAGAAGUGAUCCAAAGUCUUAACGUACGUAUCACACAAAGAAUCCACUCAGACCAAUAGAGAAUAUGAAUUAAUAUAAGACAAAGAAGAAACAUGGAUAAAUGACUCAAUCUGUAAGUCUGGAUAGCUUUGUAAAUCGUGAAAUAUUUAUAAUGUUAUGCAUAUGCGUGUAAAUGUCAUGUAAUGCAUAGGUCUGUACGUACAUAAUAUCAUCAAGCCUCUGAGGGCAUCCCAUUAUAUUAUCUCAGUCACUGAGGGCAGAAUCAUCAAUGUCUACCAGCUGAUCAGGUGGUGGUACGUAUAUAACGCCGUAACCUUUUCCCAUAUCCCAUAUACAUAAAUAUACAUAUAUACACAUAUAUAACGCCGUAUGAGUCAUAUUUCAGCCAUUGUGGGCAACAUCAUCAUCGUAUACCAGCUGAUCAGGUAGUGAUGCGUAUAUAACGCCACAACCUUNNNNNNNNNNNNNNNNNNNNNNNNNAACGCCAUCUAGUUAUGGGUCAACGUGCAUCUAUAAAUGCAUGGAAUGCAUAUGAAAUGCGUUAAUAAAAUCUCCCGAUACGUCAUAAAACUAUUAUGUCUCUGAUUAAUAUCAUGAAAUAAAUUUUACCAACUUACGUAUUUUUGAGACCCAUGAACAGAUGAUAGAAUAAUAAACAUAAAUAAUUAUUCACUUUGGCAAUCCUCACAGACAUUCAUGAUCCAAAAAAGAUCCAUCUUUCAAAGUGUUUAAGAAAGUUCUGAUUUACUACCUUUGUGGAAGAAAAAUAUAUAUAAGCUAUUAAAAUUGAAGUGCUCAAUGUAGCUAAAUCUAUUUCCUUCUUUGUCCUCCUUAGAUUUAAUAAAGGACUUAUCACUAUAUAUUAAAUACUUUUUCCUCAGUCUUUCAGAAUUGCUUUGUUAAAAGUAUAAAGUCAUAAAUUUUCAGAUAUUGAACAUGCCCGGACAACUUGCCGCUUUCAUUCCCAUAACAUCAAUUGCCAAUUUAAAUUGAAUAUCCUGCUAGUAAGGCGCAACAUGUAUACUGGUGCUGAUAUAUGGGAUUACCGAACCCAACCAGCAUAACUUUUAAGGAUUGGUAAAGUUCUAAAAUGGACUUCAAGUAGGUUUACUAAUUUUUUUUAAAGGAUUGAUAAAGUAGUAAUUAGAUUUUCAGUAGGUUUUCUAUUAUAAAAUUUUAUUUUUGAGUAUUAUGCAUUGGCAAAGUGGCAGCUCAACUUCAACUUGAAUGGAAAAACAAGAAUAUACGCAUCUCUAGCAUUUCUACGAAUAAAAUAAUUUAUGGAAGUUGUUCAUUUGCUCAUUUUGUUAGUGUCGUAUAGAUCAUGCCAAAAAGAAAGAAGGGAUAACCUUAACAUACCUGAGUCGAUUCCCUUGACAAUCCCUCUAACACACGUUAAUUGUGACAAAAUAUGUGACGGCAAGGUCGGAGUAGGAAAAAAUCUGUAUGCUAUUCUUGAGAAAGAUUGCAGUGUACAAAAGAUAUUUAUUGAGCUUUAGUAUGUGGUUAGACCAUGCCUCGAAUUAGUAGGUAAAAUGAUUCAUCAACUAUCUAUACUUGGAUACAGGUCAGAAAUCAAUCCGGCAUAUUCUUGAAUGUGAAAGAUAGAUCCUAAAUUUCUAUGAAGUCUCAACCCAAAAGCAGCAAAACAAAAGACUCUCAUCUAGCUAAAUAACUUGGUUAAAUUUAAUACGACCAACACUUCUGUUUUGAAUAACUGAUCUAUGUGGUUGAUUGGUUCAUAAGCUAGUGGAAUCAGAAUAAGCCCAUGAAUAUAAACGGGGACAAGGAUGCCAAAGUUUUUCCAUGAGAUGAGAGUUUGCAAGUAUUUCAGAAUACACUGACCUAGGACAAG